AGUGAACGCUGGCGGUAGGCCUAACACAUGCAAGUCGAACGGCAGCACAGUAAGAGCUUGCUCUUACGGGUGGCGAGUGGCGGACGGGUGAGGAAUACAUCGGAAUCUACUUUUUCGUGGGGGAUAACGUAGGGAAACUUACGCUAAUACCGCAUACGACCUACGGGUGAAAGCAGGGGAUCUUCGGACCUUGCGCGAUUGAAUGAGCCGAUGUCGGAUUAGCUAGUUGGCGGGGUAAAGGCGCACUAAGGCGACGAUCCGUAGCUGGGCUGAGAGGGUGAUCAGCCACGCUGGAACUGAGACACGGUCCAGACUCCUACGGGAGGCAGCAGUGGGGAAUAUUGGACAAUGGGCGCAAGCCUGAUCCAGCCAUACCGCGUGGGUGAAGAAGGCCUUCGGGUUGUAAAGCCCUUUUGUUGGGAAAGAAAAGCAGCAGGUUAAUACCCCGCUGUUCUGACGGUACCCAAAGAAUAAGCACCGGCUAACUUCGUG
rnacentral:rRNA from 1 species